GACGAACGCUGGCGGCGUGCUUAACACAUGCAAGUCGAACGGAAAGGCCCUGCUUUUGUGGGGUGCUCGAGUGGCGAACGGGUGAGUAACACGUGAGUAACCUGCCCUUGACUUUGGGAUAACUUCAGGAAACUGGGGCUAAUACCGGAUAGGAGCUCCUGCUGCAUGGUGGGGGUUGGAAAGUUUCGGCGGUUGGGGAUGGACUCGCGGCUUAUCAGCUUGUUGGUGGGGUAGUGGCGUACCAAGGCUUUGACGGGUAGCCGGCCUGAGAGGGUGAACGGCCACAGUGGGACUGAGAUACGGCCCAGACUCCUACGGGAGGCAGCAGUGGGGAAUAUUGCACAAUGGGCGGAAGCCUGAUGCAGCAACGCCGCGUGCGGGAUGACGGCCUUCGGGUUGUAAACCGCUUUCGCCUGUGACGAAGCGUGAGUGACGGUAAUGGGUAAAGAAGCACCGGCUAACUACGUG
rnacentral:rRNA from 1 species